UGAACGCUAGCUACAGGCCUAACACAUGCAAGUCGAGGGGAAACGGCAGCUUAGCUUGCUAAGCUGGACGCCGACCGGCGCACGGGUGAGUAACGCGUAUCCAACCUGCCCCACGGUGAGGGAUAACCCGCGGAAGCGCGGCCUAAUACCUCAUGGCCUCCGAGCUUGACAUCAACCUUGGAGUAAAGAUUCAUUGCCGUGGGAUGGGGAUGCGUCUGAUUAGCUUGUUGGCGGGGUAACGGCCCACCAAGGCGACGAUCAGUAGGGGUUCUGAGAGGAAGGUCCCCCACAUUGGAACUGAGACACGGUCCAAACUCCUACGGGAGGCAGCAGUGAGGAAUAUUGGUCAAUGGACGGGAGUCUGAACCAGCCAAGUAGCGUGCAGGACGACGGCCCUAUGGGUUGUAAACUGCUUUUGUAUGUGAGCAAUAAGGUCCACGAGUGGUCCGAUGAGAGUAGCAUACGAAUAAGCAUCGGCUAACUCCGUG
rnacentral:rRNA from 1 species